rnacentral:rRNA from 1 species
UACGUAGGGUGCAAGCGUUAAUCGGAAUUACUGGGCGUAAAGCGAGCGCAGGCGGUCGUGUAAGACAGAUGUGAAAUCCCCGGGCUCAACCUGGGAACUGCAUUUGUGACUGCACGGCUAGAGUGCGUCAGAGGGGGGUGGAACUCCACGUGUAGCAGUGAAAUGCGUAGAGAUGUGGAAGAACACCGACGGCGAAGGCAGCCCCCUGGGAUGACACUGACGCUCAUGCUCGAAAGCGUGGGGAGCAAACAGG